rnacentral:rRNA from 1 species
AAAAGCUCGUAGUUGGAUCUCAGUUCCAGACGGGCGGUCCGCCUUACGGUGGUUACUGCCCGGCCUGAACAGCCGGCCGGUUUCCCUAGAUGAUCUUCACCGGUUGUCCUGGGUGACCGGCACGUUUACUUUGAAAAAAUUAGAGUGCUCAAAGCAGGCGCGUCGCCUGAAUAAUGGUGCAUGGAAUAAUGGAAUAGGACUUCGUUUCUAUUUUGUUGGUUUUCGGAACACGAGGUAAUGAUUAAGAGGGACAGACGGGGGCAUUCGUAUUGCGACGCUAGAGGUGAAAUUCUUGGACCGUCGCAAGACGAACUACUGCGAAAGCAUUUGCCAAGAAUGUUUUCAUUAAUCAAGAACGAAAGUUAGAGGUUCGAAGGCGAUCAGAUACCGCCCUAGUUCUAACCAUAAACGAUGCCAACCAGCGAUCCGCCUGAGUUCCUCAAAUGACUCGGCGGGCAGCUUCCGGGAAACCAAAGUGUUUGGGUUCCGGGGGAAGUAUGGUUGCAAAGCUGAAACUUAAAGGAAUUGACGGAAGGGCACCACCAGGCGUGGAGCUUGCGGUUUAAUUUGACUCAACACGGGAAAACUUACCCGGCCCGGACACUGGAAGGAUUGACAGAUUAAGAGCUCUUUCUUGAUUCAGUGGGUUGUGGUGCAUGGCC